rnacentral:lncRNA from 1 species
UUGCAAUAAAAGGAGUAGAGAUUGAAUUGGAGAAAAUAUUCAUCGGGUUGACGAGCAUUGACCUCUCAAGUAAUGAGUUUCAAGGUGAGAUUCCAAAGGUUAUUGGAGAGCUUAACUCACUCAAAGAGCUAAACCUUUCUCAUAAUAACCUUAGUGGUUGUAUCCCAACAUCAAUGGGGAAUUUGGCAGCAAUUGAGUCGCUGGAUCUCUCUUCAAACAAGCUAGUUGGGAAGAUUCCUUCAGAGUUGAUUAGUUUGAAUUUUCUUGAAGUGUUAAAUCUUUCACAAAAUCAACUCGUUGGACUUAUACCUCAGGGAAACCAAUUCAAUACCUUCGGCAAUGAUUCCUAUGCUGGUAACUCGGGAUUGUGUGGGUUUCCAUUGCCAAAGAGCUGUGACAACACUGAGGCAUCCGUUUUCCAUGAGGAAGUAGAUCCUGAAUCUGGAUUUGAGUGGAAAGCAACAUUGAUGGGUUAUGGAAGUGGACUAGUGUUGGGAAUAUCUGCAGCAUAUAUCAUGUUCACACUUGGAAGACCCAAAUGGCUUGUGAGGAUGGUUGAAGAAGCAGGCUACAAAUUGAAGAGAUAUCUCAGAGGACAAAGGAAUUUGUAAAUCAGUAAGGAGCCCUCAUUUGUUACUGGUGGAUGGAAUGGCUUGUGUGCCAUUUUGUUGUUCGUUUUAUGCUCAGUUUGGUUUUCUUUUCUUGGUAGUGUUUUGUUUUGUCUUGCGCCCUGUCUUCUCUUCUAGGGGUUUUAUCAUGUUUUCAGAUUGUUUGUUAUAAGGGAUGCCCUGUUUUUGAUCUAGUAUGUUGCUUGGCUGUUGCUCAUUGCCAUCCAAAUGCUUGUUCUCUUCUCUAUUAUUCACCAGUGCUUAGUCCUGGUUGGUAAUGAAUUCAAUUUUUGGUUUAGUAAGGAUGGUUGUUGUAAACUCUGUAGUUUUUAUUCCUAGAAUAAUGUUUCCUUCAUGCUAAUAAAAUUGUAAGCCUGUUAUUGAUGUUUAUGGAAUUUAAAGUUGAAUUUUCUAUCUUUUUUACAAAUUUUGAGAUUGAAUUUUAGUUGAAUUCACUGCAGUUAAAUCGUGUUUUUCUGUUAAUGUUUGAAGGCAGCAAUCAGAAAGGAUAGCAUAGAAAAUGGUCUUAUGAUUAAAACUGGAGCAAAUGGAAGCUUUUAAUUGCCCUCAACUUUUGCCCUUUCACGUAGUACAGUCGGCAAGCAGGAGAACUUAACAGCAUCUAAAAGUCAAUGUUUUGAUACCUGACACUUGGUUACCUUCUUAAUCAAGUUAAGCAAACCAAAGGAAGAAAUCAGCAUCACUUGCUAAAGUCAUCUAGGCUGGCAAUUCCUUCAUCACAAGCAAUUUUUGCUUUACUUUGCUUAAUCAAAGAUUUUGCUUAUAUUUUGAGGAACUGAGCUUUGCUUAGUAAACUCUAGGUGCUUUAAACUAUCCAGCUGCCAACUUGGCUUAACCUCGGACCAUUUUGAGAACAACACUACGCAUAGUUACCAAAUCUAGUCGCCAUUGCUUAACACUUACAACUUUGACUGGCCAUUACCAAUGGAGCCAAAACUUUCCUAUAACUUCAGUUGUUCAUGAUAAAACUCUCGUUCUUUUCAAAUUCUAUUCAUGAUUCAUCCUUCUACUAGUUUAUUCAGUUGGACUAGAGUUGUUCUAAUGCCAAAUUCAAGUCAUAUUUUCUGCAUUUAGAUUUUCUUUUUGCCCUCACCAUCAUGCUAAUUAUUUCUUCACCUUCCUUUUCAAAAUGAAUUGAGAUCCUCCCCAACGCAAACUUAUUUGUCCAUAAAUAGUAUGAAAAUGUACCAAAGGUUAUAGCAGGCUGCGGCAUCACAAAGCCAUUAAUACAUAUUAUCGCACCAAACACGUAGUUUCAUGUCAAGCAUGCACAACACCACGUAAUGGCUUUUGAAUCCCAGCAAACACGCGCCUAAUUGCAUGCUGUACAGAUAGGUUGCCCACUUGCCAUUCCUUAGAAGACUUGUUUGGACGUGCUAAAUCCUGGUAACAACAAGAUCAAUGAUAUAUGUCCUCAUUGGUUGGGAAGUCUUCCACAGCUACAAGUUCUUGUAUUGCAGUCGAAUCAAUUCCAUGGUUCCAUUCAUGGCAUUAGAUCCAAUCGUUCUUUCUCUAAGAUUCAAAUUUUUGACCUCUCAAAUAAUUAUUUUACCGGCCCACUUCCUGUUAAAUAUAUAAAGAAUUUUAAGGCUUUGACAAAUCUCACAAUAGAUAAAAGUGCAAUCUGAUACAUAGGAGUGCAGGCUUUUAAUGUCAGUCACUUUAUAGUUAUUCUGUUGAAAUUGCAAUAAAAGGACAAGAGGUUGAAUUGGAGAAAAUUUUCAUCAAGGUGACGAGCAUUCACCUUUCAAAUAAUAAGUUUCAAGGUUAGAAACCAAAGGUUAUUGGAGAGCUUAAAUCACUCAAAGGGCUUAACCUUUCUCAUAACAACCUUAGUGGUUAUAUCCCUACAUGUAUGGGGAAUUUGAUUAGUCUUGAAUGGUUGGAGCUCUCUUCAAACGAGCUAGUUGGGAAGAUUCCUACACAGUUGACUAGUUUGGGUUCUCUUGCAGUGUUAAACCUUUCACAAAAUCAGCUCAUUGGACUUAUACCUCUGGGAAAACAAUUCAAUACUUUUGGUAAUGAUUCCUAUGUUGGUAACUUGGGAUCGUGUGGGUUUCCAUUGUCAAAGAGAUGUGACGACACUGAGGCAUCCGUUUUUCAUGAGGAAGCAGACUUUGAGUUUGGAUCUGUGUGGAAAGCGACAUUUAUGGGUUAUGGAAGUGGACUAGUGUUGGGAAUAUCUGCAACAAAUAUCAUGUUCACCCUUGGAAGACCCAAAUGGCUUGUGAGGAUGGUUGAAGAAGCCAGCUACGAACUUAAGAGAUAUCUCAGAGGAGGAAGAAAUUUGUAAAUUAGUAAGGAUGGUUGUUGCAAACUAUGCUUUUUUUCUUCCUAGAAUAAAUUUUCUUUCAUGCUAAUGAAACUUUAAGCCUAUUAUUGAUGUUAUAUGGAAUUUAAAUUUGAAUUUUCUAUCCCUUUUACAGAUGUUGACAUGAAAAUUUAGUUGAAUUCACAGCACUUACAUCAAUUUUUUUUUGUUAAUGUUGGAAGGCAGCAAUCAGGGAGGAUAGCAUUGAAAAUGGUCCUUGCUAAAUUGGAGCAAUGGAAGCUUUCAACUUCUCUCAAAUUUUGCCCUUUCACAUAGUACAGCAAGCAAGCAGAAGAACUUAACAGCAUCCAAUAGUCAAUGUUUUAAUACCUGACACUUGGUAAACCUUCUUAAUCAAGUUAAGCAAGCAAAAGAAGAAAUCACUGUUAAUUGCUAAAGUCAUCUGGGCUGGCAAUUCCAUCGUCACAUGCAAUUUUAGCUUUACUUUGCUUAGUCAAAGAUUUUGUUUAUGUAUAUAUUGAGGAGCUGAGCUUUGCUUAGUAAACUCCAGUUGCUUGAACAAUCCAGUUGCCAACUUGGCUUAACCUCGGACCAUGUUGAGAAGAACAUCAUGCAUAGUUACCAAAUCUAGUUGCCAUUGCUUCACAUUUACAACUUCGACUGGCCAUUACCAGUGGAGCCAAAACUUUCCUGUAAUCUCAGAUGUUCAUAAUAAAAGUCUUGUUCUUUUCAAAUUCAAUUCAUAAUUCAUCCUUCUGCUAGUAUUCAGUCGGAUUGGAGUUUUUCUAAUGCCAAAUUCAAGUAAUUUCUUUUCUCAGUUCAGGGUAGAGAUGGGUAUAUGGGAAUUCUCUUGAUCCCAAUAAAACAAGAAACUCCCCUCUUUUUCUCUUUCUCCAUUUCCAUAUUUUGUUUAAACAAGUUUCAAUCUUUUUUCUCUCCAUUUAAUUUUGUAGUUUAUUGAAUUUUUCUUAUUGAUAGAAAUUUGAAUCGAAAUUUGAAGAACCCAUCAAAGUUGUCAUCCAAAACUAAUUCUCCUGUUAUCUCCAGCAAAUUUCUUGCUUUGUUUCAAAAUUGUUUUCUUUCAAAUUGUCAUUAGCACUUUGAGACAACUGCAUGACAAAAUUAGAAGACUUAAAAAGGCUUUUGCAUCGAUCUGAAAUCAGUAGCAUCAAAAAAUGGUUUAAAUAGCAGGCUGAAUUUAUUCUGUUCAUCCUUAGCAUUUGCUUUUUGACAAGGUUGAUCUACAAAUUGUUCAAAAAACUUAGACAAUGAAUAAUAAACAUAUGAAAGUAGGUGUAAACAUUAGGAAAAUGUAGGAAAGUGAUUGUCUAUUUCUCACUCUAUUUCUACGUAAAUGCAAUUGAAAAAUGUAGGAAAAAAUUGAAACUAGAAGUACAUGGUAUAAACAUUAUGCAAAAUUGACCUUGUUGAAGGAAAUUCUGUCAUUGCUUCACUUUUAAAUUAUUGAUCUCUUUAUUUUUAUUUUUCUUGUUUCUUUUCCCUGUUGAAUUAAAAGGAAAUUUACGACUAUUAAAAAUGAAUGAACAAAUUCAAAAUUAAUACGUGUUUUGAUUAAAAAAAUAAAAUAAAAGAGAACAAAAAACAAGAAUUACGCAGAAGAAAAGGCCCAAACUAACAUCUUUUGAUAGAUAUAUAUAUUUUUUAUACUUCUUGGUUUAACGUGACAAUUUGGGAUCAAUGCAUUAAUCUGUGACACCUUUUUAUAAAUCUAGAAGUGGAAUCAACACAGAGAAAAUUGUAAUGGUAGCAAAACUUUGAAUGAGAAAAAGUUACAGAGACUUGGUAAACUAUAUGUGAUGAAUACAGUGACGUGAGGUUGGGGUUCUGCAAUGGGUGGAUCCCAUGUCCCUACACCCUAUUUGCUUUGAGGUAGCUUAAUUAACGGUGCAAAGGAGCCAGUUCCAGCAUUCAGUCUUCUUACUUCUCUCAUGUUUUCUACUAUAGCCCAGUCAAUUCUGUAAAUUGCACUUGUUGGGGAGAAUUCUGCAAUGUGUCAGUGAGUGCACGUUGUGGGGACAAUUCCAACACGUUAAAAGAUUAAAUUUCAGCCUGGUGUAGACCAUAUUAACAUUAAUAAGACAAAAUAUAUAAUGGAAUGAUUGGAUUAUAGGUCCAUAUUUUCCUUUUGUGAAAAUAACCAUCUCACCUUUUUCUUUAAGAUUGGUUUAAUUUUUCCUUUGGCGUGUGGUCUUGGUCUCUUUGAUCAUCUCAUAUUUUCUCUAAUAGAAACUCUCUAUGAAAAGAUAAAUCACUGACCUUAAUGAGCUAGACAAUUUAAUUAAUGAAUCAGAAAAAAAGUCUUGAUAUGAAGAUUUUGACUCUUACUACAUAUUAUUUACAAAUGAUAGCAUCAACCUGAUUCAUCACACAUAGACUCUCAUUUCAUUUGUUACUAAAUCAGUAAUCAAUUAUUACUAAAUCAUGGAAUUUAAGAUUCAGGGACGAAGAUUGUACUGAGAAGUAGCUGAAUAUACGUACUUUAUUCUGGUCCAACCUUGUCCAACUAAAUUAGCAAUUCUGUUUUGUUGGGGAAUAAAAAACGCUUAAUGGUUUUGAUUGUGAGCAGUAGAAAACUUUGUAUAGGAGACAAGAGACCACGGGACAGUUUGAAUAAGGAACGCAAUGUCUUUAAAGUGUUGUUUACUCAGAAACUUUGAAGCGGCAGACGACUUUGAACAGGAAAAAGUUAGAGAGACUUUGUAAUACCCCUCACAGAGUAUUUAUUAUAAAAAAAAAUUAAAUUAAAAUUAUUAAGCUAUAGUAUUUUAUAAAGAUAAUAAGUAGAUAUUAUUUUAGUAUUUUAUUUAUUUACAAUUAUGACCUUGAGUGUCUUAAUAAUUAAAAAAAUAGAAGAAUGGGUCUUUAAGUAAAAGAAGAAGUUUAAUUAAGUCAGUUUUAUUAUCACGUUUAAGUUAGUGGGAUUAAGGGUCAGUUUAUUUAUCCCAUUUAAGUUAGUGGAGUUAGGUAGUUUAUAAGUUUUAAAAGAACAGACAACAACUUACGUUAGUUCAUUCAUCAUAUUCAAACAACAGACAGUCAGAAAAGCUUAAUAUCAGGGAAGAAGAAAGACAGAGGAGAGGGAAAGAGAUUGCUGAUUAAGGUAUGUUUGGGAAUUAUAUUUUCAUAAUUUGGGUACAAAAAACCCUAAAUUAGAUAUAUUUUCUUAUUUUUUAUUUAAAUUCGGCACUUUUCUGAUGACUUUCCUGUAGCAUGAUGGGUACCAAUGGAAAGGUCUUGAAAAGAUCUUUCCCAUGGUUUUUGUAGCAUCUUGUUCGAUUUUGUGGUUUGGAAGUUACAAAUUUUUAAAGUUAAUUAAGAACCUGGUUUUCAAUAGUUUUGACAGCCCGACUUUGGGUCACCGGAACUCCAUAUUCCGGUGACGUUUUUGGCCGUUUCUUUGAGGGCUUUUGAAGUAUGAAAUUAGAUGUUUAAUUUGGCGUCAAUGUCUUGGUUAGAGGCUUCCUGUGUUAAGAGAAUUAAAGCCUCAAAGUAGGCUCAUUGAUACUGGAAACCCAGAAAUCUGGGUAUUUCUGUGAUGAAUUCUUGAAUUUUGGCUUUCGAAACUUAGGAAUCUUGUGGUCUUUUUAAUCGAAACAAAUUUUGGUCUUGUAGUAUGAUAUGCAUACUUUAAAUUGGUGUUGAUUUCAUCACUGGAUAUAAUUCAGGUUAAAAGAUAUGAGAGCUUGAAGUAAGCCAAAUGGCCAUCCAGAUUCUGAAAAUUCCAGAAAACAGAAAAUUUCUUUUUUUUAAAUUUGUUUUAAAAAAUUUGAUUUUAAUUAUUAUGUGAUAAAUUCUAUUGUAAAUUUCAUAAAUAUUGGAUAUGUGAUUUCUACUGUAUUUUUAUGUCAAGAAGUAUGUAUCUUUAUAUUUUAUAAAUUUAUUUCUUAAAUUAGUAGAUUUUAUUAAAAUAUCAAAAUUUAUGAAAUUAAUUACAAAUAUGAUUUUUUACAAGUGAAAUUAGUAUUAUUUCUCUAUCUGAAAUUUAAAGUCCUUACUGAUUUUAUGAUUUAAGUUUAAUUCUCAACCUUAUUGGAAAUUUUGUUUAAUUCAAAAAUAUAAAUAAUAAUAAUAUAUUACCUUAUUAACAAAAAAAAAAAAAAGUUCAUAAAUUGUAAUAGGAGUCGCUACACACCCUAAGUGCUUAGGAUGGUCAACGAAAAGUCGCAUUGUAGGAUCUGUUUGCAAAUUUAGUUCUGAUUUUUGUGUUUCUCGAAAUACUAGGCUACUAAGAGGAUUUUCGGAUUUGCUACUUGAAAGUAAAAUUUACGAGAUCAAGUAAGUGACUGAUAUCCCUUCGAUGUUUUCACACCUUAAAAAUUAGCUUCAAUCUGAAUUUGUACAUGAGAUAUAAUAUUUUGUCCUAUGAUUUAUUAAAAUCGAGUUAAGCAUGCAAAAUGUAUAUGUAUAUGAGUUUAUAUGUUGGAUUUAGAAUGUUGCUUAUGUAAAGCCUGAUAUCUGAUUUCGAAAUAUAUAUGACUUUAUAUAAUGUAUGCAUAUAUGAUUUCGCAAAUAUAAAUACAAAUAUUUAGUCUGAAACAAAUAUGCUUUUGUGGUGUAUGAGAUACGCUUGAGAAAUUUGAUAUACUGUUUUAUGAACUUUGGGUAAUCUAAAAAUAUAUAUUUCUGUUUUGUCUCCUAGUAUGGCUAUGCUCUGACCCUGCCAAUGGGGGUUAAAUGUUGGCCAUGUCGACAUGUAUUCUGUGAUUAGAGAUCGAUCUCCCAACCGCACUACCGGUUACAGAAUAGUAGUAUUUGUGAUAUCUGUUCAGUGCAGCCAAUGGUUGCUUCUUCUGACCCAUGCCACUGGGGUUAAUUGUGGUUCUAUUUCUGACCUAUGCCACAGGGGUUAAGUGUGGUCGUAGCAUGUUACAGGAGACCAUUAAAAGUUAAAUAUUGUGAAUAUAUUUGUUCUGUUAUUUGAAUGCGCAAAUUUUGAAGUAUGUGAUUCCAAAUAAGAUUACCCAAUAUUUUAUCUUGGCAUUUGUAAAUGAUAUUUUGCCCUGAAUGUUUUAAGCAUGCUUAAUCCGGCUGAAGGGAUGUUAGUUACUUGCUGAGUAGUUGGACUCACCCUUUCCUUCAAAUUUUUUUCAGGUUGUGAUUUGGUCAACCACGCUGGAACUUUGGGGAGUGAUGUUUAAUUUAGUAGCACUUAAAUUAUUUAGGAUUUAUUUAAAUAUUAUGAACAUCGUACUAUCUUAAUUAGUAUUCAGACUUUUAUCUUGACACAGUAGCUUUAUGGUUUUGGAGAUUUAAUUUUGAAUAUUGUCAAAUUAUGAUAUUUGGAAAUUCUGUCAAUAGAUAUAGUUUAUAAAUCACUAAAUUCUUCAGGUAUAUUAGUCUCUUUUAGUAAUGGUUUAAGAUAUAUAUUUUAGAGCCUUGCAUGUCUGUGGGAUUAUACCUUACAGGUAUGCGGCGUCUGUCAUGUCUCGGGUCUGGGGCGUGACAGACUUGGUCAACGAAUUUGUCUUGGAUGCAUUGACGUGAAGUUGGGGUUCUGCAAUGGGUGGAUCUCAUUUCCCUACACCCUAUUUGCUUUAAGGUAGCUUCAUUGACGGUGCAAAGAAGCUAGUUCCAGCGUUAAGGUCUUCUUUCUCAUCUCCUUUUUUCUACUAGCCUAGUUGAUAUUAGCAUUAAUGAGGCAAAAUAAAUAAUGGAAUGAUUUCAUCAAAUGUCCAUAUUUUCCACUUAUUGGGUACCACCACCUUUUGCUUUCAGAUUAGUUGUUGUUGUUUUUUUUGCUGUGACUCGUAAAAUUAACAUUGACAGAUCUUCUUUAUUUUUGACCUUUUCUUGAGAAAAGGACAUAAUUGUAUUAAAGGCUUCAACAAUUGCAUCAAAGAAUACACUCUCUUGAGAUAAAUUUUAAGAAACGAUAGUUAUUUCAUCAGUUUGAUAAUUGGUUCGAUCUUUAUUGAUUACUUCACUGUCAUGAACCCUCGGUUAUCCUACUUUCUAAUUCGAGAUCCCCACUUGCAAUUGGAAACUAUAGAGAAAAAACGCAUGAAACGAAUUUCUAACAAAUGAUACUUAGAAAAUAAAACCCAAUGACCCAAGAUUUGAUUUCUUUAUUAUUAUUUUUCUUCUUUCGUUUCCUUUCAGAGUUAAAAGCAAACUUACAAACAUAAAGAAUGAAUGAACUAAGUCAAAAUUAAUACGUGUUUUGAUUAAGAAAAGAAAAAUGAAACAAAGAGUGAUACACGAUGGUUCUAUUCUUCUUUAAUCUGCAUGUUGGAUUAUAGAGUCUUAUCCACUCUCAUUAUAUUUUAUUAGAAAUUUAACAAAAUGGAGUUGAACUUACUAUUUAAUAUGCAUGAUGAUUGCCUUUAAAUUUAUAGGUCAUCACUAGACCCCAUUUGCUUUUAGGUAGCUUCGUUGAUGUUGCAAAUUGCACUUUCGUUUUUACUAGUGUAAAAAGCAGAAGACUUGAAAAGGGCUUUUGCAUCCAUCUGAAAUCAGUUUCAUCAAAACAUGGUCUAAAAUAGUAGGCUGAAUUUAUUCCUUUCAUCCUUACUAUUUGCUUUUUGACAACAUAUAAUAAACAAAUGAAAGUCGGUGUGAACAUGAAGACAAACCUUGGAAGUGAUUGUCUAUUUCUUACUCUAUUUCUAUGUAAAUGCAAUUGGAAGAUGCAGGGAAAGAAUUGAAACUAGAAGUACAUGGUAUAAACAAUAAUGCAAAAUUGGCUCUGUUGAAGGAAAUUCUAUCAUUGCUAUACUUUUAAAUUAUUGAUCUUUUUAUUAUUUUUUUUCUUCCUUCUUCCCUUUGAGUUAAAAGGAAACUUAUGAAUAUAUAGAAUGAAUGAACAAAAUCAAAAUUAAUGCGCGUUUUGAUUAAAAAAAUUAAAAUAAAAGAGAGGAAAAAACAAGAAUUAAGCGAAAGAAAGAGCCCAAAUUAACAUUUUGAUAUAUAUAUAUAUAUAUAUAUAUAUAUAUAUAUAUAUAUAUACUUCUUGAUUUAACGUGACAAUUUGGGAUCAAUGCAUUAAUCUGAGACACCUUUCUAUAGAUCUAGAAGUGGAAUUAGGACAAAGAAAAUUGUAAUGGUAACAAAACUUUGAAUGAGAAAAAGGUACAGAGACUUGGUAAACUGAUUUGUGAUGAAUCCAGUGAUCGGGGUUCUGAUUUGCUUAAUUGACGGUGCAAAGAAGCUAGUUCCAGCAUUCAGUCUUCUUGCUUCCCUCAUGUUUUCUAGUAUAGCCCAGUCAAUACUGUAAAUUGCUCUUGUUGGGAAGAAUUCUGCAAUGUUUCAGUGAGUGCACGUUGUGGGGACAAUUCCAACACGGUAAAAGAUUAAAUUUCAGCCUGGUGUAGACUAUAUUAGCAUUAAUAAGACAAAGUAUACAAUGAAAUGAUUGGAUCAUAUGUCCAUAUUUUUUUCUUACGGAAAUUACCGCCUCACCUUUUUCUUUAAGAUUAGUUUAAGGUUAGUUUAAUUGAUGAAUCAGAAGAAAAGUCUUGAUAUGAAGAUUUCGACUCUUACUACAUAUUAUUCACAAAUGAUAGCACAAACCUAAUUCAUCACGCAGAGAAUCUUGUUUCAUUUUGUUACUAAAUCAAUAAUCAAUUAUUACUAAAUUAUGAAAUUUAAGAUUUAGGGAUGAAGAUUGUACUGAGAAGUUGCUGAAAUACGUACUUUAUUCUGGUCCAACCUUGUCCAACUAAAUUAGCAAUUCUGCUUUGAAGUGUUGUCUUGAAUGCAUUGAUGUGAAAUUGGGGUUCUGCAAUGGUAUAAACAUGAUGCAAAAUGGCUCUGUUGAAGGAAAUUCUAUCAUCGAUGCACUUUUGGAUUAUUAAUCUCUUUAUUUCUUUCUUUUCCCCUUUAAGUUAAAAGGAAACUUACAAAUAUAAAGAAUAAAUGAACAAAUUCAAAAUUUAUACGCGUUUUGGUAACCAAAAUCUUGAAUAUAAAUUUCAAGUUGAUUAUUAUUGUAGGGCUUAAUUCCCAUACCUUUUAAGAUAUUCUCUUUUUUGGCAUAACAUCACUUGAUCAGUUUAAUAUGAAAAGAAAUCUUCAAAUUACAUUUUUCCCUUAAAUUUCCUUCAUUAAGUCAGGAGAAAAUCAUACACUAUAUCGCAGAGAAUUUAGAGGAUGAUAUGAGAAAACUAUUUUACAGCUAAGUAACAAACAAUACAAGGCUAAACCAAUAAUGAGUGCCAUUGAGGUGCUUCUCAUUAAUUUAUUUGAAAUUGUUAAUAUUGUUUAUUUUUUAGAUAUCAUAUCAACAAGGGAGCAGAUGAAGCUUAAGUUAAAAGACAUCAAAGAAGUAAUACUUCUUAAUGAACCAAAUUUGUUAUUUCUUGGUGAUUGAGGCUGACAUAAUUGCUUUUGUUGAAAAACACAAAAAGAGAAAAGGAAAGAAUAACACAAAACAUAGAGAUUAUGCAAUUGGUACAUGUUCCAUGUCAAAAGCAUAAUGAGUAUUGCUUUUGGACCAGGUUGAAUGACAUAUUAGCUUUCCACCUGAGCACGGUAACAUUUCCCUCAAUUUGACACGUCAUCAAUUAUGAACUUCCAAGAAACCUGAGAAAACAAAAUUAUGAACUUGGAUUUGGUACCUCUUGACUAGGCAGCUUAUAAAUACUCAUCUUUGCCUUCCCACCAUUCAUAUCAUGCCAUUAAUAUUCAAUUUCUCUUGUUAAGAAACAUGUGGUGCUUACUCAAAGCCUUUCAACUCCUCCACCUUCUUUUGUUCCUCCUGACUUUUCAAGCCAAUCUUUCAUCUUCUUCUUCUUCAAUUACACAGUUGUGCUCUCCUGAAGAAGCUGCUGCAUUGAUCCAAUUCAAGACCUCUUUUUCCAUCAGUGAAUAUGCAUCUUGGAAUUGUGAUCAUUAUGCUGGCAUUAAAUCUUAUCCCAAGACAAAUUCAUGGAAGGAGGGUUCAAAUUGCUGCUCAUGGGAUGGGAUCACUUGUGAUAACGUCAACGGUCAAGUGAUUGGCCUUGACUUGAGUUGCAGUCAGCUCUAUGGCAGCAUCCCCUCCAAUAGUAGUCUCUUCCAUCUUCCACACUUGCAGAAACUCAACCUAGCCUCCAACGAUUUUAACUCUUCCAAGAUGUCAUCUAAGUUUGGUCGGUUUGCAAGUCUGGUGUAUCUUAACCUGUCUUUCGCAUCCUUUGCAGGAGAAGUCCCAUCCCAAAUCUCCCACUUGUCAAAAUUGGUUUCACUUGAUCUCUCUUGGAAUUGUUAUCAACCACUUGAUAGGCAUACUCUGGAAGGACUCGUUGAGAACCUAACAGAGGUGAGACAACUUUUUCUUGGUGAUAUCAAUAUGUCUUCUAUUAAUCCUAAUGUCUUGACGAAUCUAUCCUCAUCUCUAAGGGCCCUUAAUCUUGAGGCUUGUGAUUUGCGAGGAAAAUUCCCAAAAAACAUUUUUCACCUGCCUAACCUCAAGUCCCUCUAUUUAAGGCGCAACGAAAACCUCGCUCUCUAUUUUCCAAAGUUGAACCAGACCAGCAAUCUUCAACUUUUAGAUCUAUCAAGCAUGUUCUUCUCUACAGAAUCGAUAGAUUCAAUAGGCAAUUUACAAUCUUUGAAAUAUUUGGAUUUAUCAUGGACUUCUUUUCCUGGAGGGUGGCCUAAGACUAUCACGAAUUUAUCAUCUUUGGAGCAUUUGGAUGCAUCAGACUCAUCUUUCUCAGGAGCAUUGCCCAACUCAAUCGGGAAUCUAGUGUCCUUGGAGUAUUUAAAUCUUCAAUCAUCCAACUUGUCAGGAUCAAUUCCGAUAUCAUUGGGAAACCUCUCACAACUCAAUCAUUUAGAUUUGUCAUGGAACUAUUUUAGUGGACAAAUUCCAUCCUCACUUACAAACCUAAGACAACUCAAUCAUUUAGAUUUGUCAUGGAACUAUUUUAGUGAACAAAUUCCAUCCUCACUUACAAACCUAAGACAACUUGAAUUCUUUUCCCUUUUUUAUAACCAACUAGAGGGUUCCAUUCCUGAUGAGGUGAAUGCCUUUCCUAAUCUAAUCUCUCUAGACUUAUCUUCUAAUUUACUCAAUGGAACACUUCCCUCAUGGUUGUAUACAGUUUCCACAUUGAAGCACAUAUAUCUCAACGAUAACAAGCUCAGUGGUGAUAUCAAGGAAUUCCAGUGCAAAUCACUAGAACAGAUCCGUUUUGGGAAUAAUAAACUCAAAGGUCCUAUUCCAUCUUCAAUAUUCCAACUUGUGAAUCUUACUACAGUUGACUUUUCACAUCUAAGUGGGUUUGUACAGAUUAACAUGUUCUCAAAACUCCAAAAUCUCCAGUACCUUGAUCUUUCAUAUAGCAGUCUAUCCUUAAACUCUAAUGGUACUAGUGCUGAUUAUGUGUUUCCUAAUCUUCAGUAUUUGUACUUGUCUUCUUGCAAUGUCAAUGAAUUUCCCCAAUUUUUAAAAGGUUCAAAAAGUUUGCAACAUUUAGACCUUUCCAACAAUAAAAUUUAUGGCAAGAUUCCUAAGUGGAUGUGGGAUGUGGGGAAGGACUCUUUGACAUUCUUGAACUUAACUCACAACAAUUUGACGGAUUUUGAACAAAUUCCAUGGAAGGGAAUUGAAAUUCUUGACCUUAGCUCCAAUUUCAUUCAUGGAGAUCUUCCGAUUCCACCUUCAACAACAUCUGUCUUUCUUAUCUCAAAUAAUAAUUUGAGCGGUGAGCUCCCUUCUCUGCUAUGCAAUGCAAAUUCCUUUGAAUUUCUUGACUUGUCUCGCAACAACUUGAGUGGAAUUAUUCCACAAUGUUUUGGAAACUUAAGCCGAAGCCUUUCAGUGUUGAAUCUACAAAGGAACAACUUCUGUGGACUCAUUCCUUCGGUUUUUACAAAGGGAUGUCACUUGAAUUAUCUCAACUUAAAUGGCAAUCAAUUAGAAGGGCCUUUACCACAAGACAUCAUUAAUUGUGGAGGUUUGGAAGUGCUAAAUCUUGGUAACAACAAGAUCAAUGAUACAUUUCCUCAUUGGUUGGAAAGUCUUACACAACUACAAGUUCUUGUGCUGCAUUCGAAUCAAUUGCAUGGUUCCUUUCAAGAUCCGUGGUCCAAUCAUUCUUUCUCUAAAAUUCAAAUUUUUGAUCUGUCGAAUAAUUAUUUUACUGGUCCACUUCCCGUUAAAUAUAUAAAAAAUUUCAAGGCUAUGAUAAAUCUCUCAAAAGAUAAAAGUGCAAGGUCGUACAUGGGAGAGUAUGUUCCUUCUGCUUUGGCUAACUUCUAUAGCUAUUCUAUUGAAAUUGCAAUAAAAGGAGUAGAGAUUGAAUUGGAGAAAAUAUUCAUCGCGUUGACGAGCAUUGACCUCUCAAACAAUGAGUUUCAAGGUGAGAUUCCAAAGGUUAUUGGAGAGCUUGACUCACUCAAAGGGCUAAACCUUUCUCAUAAUAACCUUAGUGGUUGUAUCCCCACAUCAAUGGGGAAUUUGACAGCACUUGAGUCACUGGAUCUCUCUUCGAAUAAGCUUGUUGGGAAGAUUCCUACACAGUUGAAUAGUUUGGAUUUUCUUGAAGUGUUAAACCUUUCACAAAAUCAGCUCGUUGGACCUAUACCUCAGGGAAAACAAUUCGAUACCUUUGGCAGGGAUUCCUACGCUGGUAACUUGGGACUGUGUGGGUUUCUAUUAUCAAGGAGCUGUGACAACACUGAGGCACCCUUUUUUCAUGACAGCACUGAGGCACUCAUUUUUCAUGUGGAAGCAGAUUCUGAAUCUGGAUUUGUGUGGAAAGCGACAUUCAUGGGUUAUGGAAGUGGACUAGUGUUGGGAAUAUCUGCAGCAUAUAUCAUGUUCACACUUGGAAGACCCAAAUGGCUUGUGAGGAUGGUUGAAGAAGUAGGCUACAAAUUGAAGAGAUACCUCAGAGGACGAAGGAAUUUGUAAAUUAGUAAGAAGCCCUCAUCUGUCACUGGUGGAUAGAAUGGCUUGUGUUCCUUUUAUGUUCAAUAUGAUUUUCGUUUCUUGACUGUGUUUUGUUUUGUCUUGCGCCCUGACUUUUCUUCCAGGGGUUGUAUCAUGUUUUCAAGUUGUUUGUUACAGGGGAUGCCCUGUUUUUGAUCUGGUAUGUUGCUUGGCUGUUGCUUAUAGCCAUCCAAAUGCUUGUUCUCUUUUGUUUUAUUCACCAAUGAUUAUUCCUGGUUGAUAAUGAAUUCUAUUGAAGCAGACUUUGUUUUUUUUUUCUUCCUAGAAUAAAUUUUCUUUCAUACUAAUGAAAUUGUAAGACUGUUAUGGAUGCUAUAUGGAAUUUAAAGAUGAAUUUUCUAUCCCUUUUACAAAUGUUGACAUGAAAUUUUAGUUGAAUUCACCAUGCUUAAAUAACUUUUUUUUUUUUUUUUAACGUUUGAAGGCAGCACUCAGGGAGGAUAACAUUGACACUCGGCUACCUUCUCAAUCAAGUCAAGCAAGCAAAAAGAAAUCUGUGUUACUAGCUAAAGGCAUCUGGGCUGGCAAUUCGUUCAUCACAAACAAAUUUUUCUUUACUUUGCUGAAUCAAAGAUUUUGCUUGUAUAUAUAUGUAUAUAUAUAUAACUGAGCUUUACAUAUAUGUAUAUAUAUAUGUAUAUAUGUAUAUUGAAGAACUGAGCUUUGCUUUUUAAGCUUCAGGUGCUUAAACUAUCCAGUUGCCAACUUGGCUUAACCUUGAACAUGCCUUGGACCAUGUUGAGAACAACAGUAUACGUAGUUACAAAAUCUAGUUACCAUGCCUUCACACUUACAACUUUGACUGGUCAUUACCAAUGGAGCCAAAACUUUCCUAUAAUUUCAGUUGUUCAUAAUAAAAGUCUUGUUCUUUUCAAUUUCAAUUCAUAAUUCAACCUUGUGCUAGUAUUCAGUUGGACUGGAGUUGUUCUAAUGCCCAAUUCAGGUCAUAUUUUCUACCUACUUUAGUUUAAGGAGAGAACUGUAAUUCUAAAGUCUAUGGGGGCAGAUUUUGUCAUUUCUGCUCCUCUUACUUCCCACUUGCAGCAAGCAAAUCUUUCCUUCACCAACCAGACUUCUCCCAAAAACCCCCCGGCUUGGAGUAAUGAAGAGACCGAAGAGACCACCCUUCCAUGGGAAUUCUCUUCAUCCCAAUAAAACCUGAAACUCCCUUCUUUUUCUCUUUCUCCUCUUUCAUAUUUUGUUUAAGCAAGUUUCAAUCUUUUUUCUUUCCUUUUUUCUUUUGUAGAUUAUUGAAUUAUUCUUGUUGAUGAGAAUGGCGCUUGAAUCCUCAAUUCUCAGCCAACCCACUUUCUGUUCUUCAAGAAGGUCCUCGCCUUUCAUGCUUUUUAAUCGAAAUUUGAAGUACCCAUAAAAGUUUUUAUCCAAAACUAAUCACUACCCAGCUCCUAUUAUCUCCAGCUUUUCCAAUCCCGAGGUUUUCAAAGCCUUUGGAUUGCGAAAAACUGGAAUUUUUGGAAGUCAGGCACGUCUGGGAUUGUUAAGUGAAGACAAUGAAGAUGUGGGAAAUAAUCAGAAUCUGAUUUUGGUGAAAAGGGGAAUUUUGGUGGCAAUGGUUUGCAGUGUAUUGGUCUUUGGUUGUAAAAGAGUGUUUGCUGUUGAGGGAGUGGUUAAUGCUGGCUAUGGGGUGAUUGAGCAUUGCAUAUUGUUGUUGAGGAACGCUUGGCCUAAGUUAUCUAUGCUUCUUAAAGCUAAUCUUUCAUCUUCUUCUUCUUCAAUUACACAGUUGUGCUCUCCUGAAGAAGCUGCUGCAUUGAUCCAAUUCAAGAUCUCUUUUUCAAUCAGUGAAUAUUCAUAUUGGGAAUGCGGUGAAUCUUUUCCUAUGACAAAUUCAUGGAAGGAGGGUUCAGAUUGCUGCUCAUGGGAUGGGGUCACUUGUGAUAACAUCAAAGGUCAAGUUAUUGGCCUUGACUUGAGUUGCAGUCAGCUAAAUGGCAGCAUCCCUUUCAAUAACAGUCUCUUCCAUCUUCCACACCUACAGAAACCCAACCUAGCCUUCAACUACUUUAACUCUGCCAAGAUGUCAUCUAAGUUUGGUGGGUUUGCAAGUCUAAUGUAUCUCAAUCUCUCUUAUUCAAACUUUGAAGGACAAGUCCCAUCCCAAGUCUCCCACUUGUAGAAAUUGGUUUCACUUGAUCUCUCUGGGAAUUAUUAUUAACCACAUGACAGACAUACUGUGGAAGGACUUGUUCAGAACCUAACAGAGGUGAGACACCUUUUUCUUGACAGUAUCGAUAUGCCUUGAUGAAUCUACCCUCAUCUUUAAGGACUCUUAAUCUCAAGUACUGUGAUUUGCGAGGAAAAUUCCCAAAAAACAUUUUUCACCUGCCUAACCUCAAGUCCCUCUAUUUAGGAUACAACGAAAACCUUGCUCUCUAUUUAGAUCUAUCAGGAAUGUCCUUCUCAACAAAAUCGAUAGAUUCGACGAUCGGCAAUUUACAAUCUUUGAAAUAUUUGGAUUUAUCAUGGACUUCUUUUCUUGGAGGGUUGCCUGAGUCUAUCACGAAUUUAUCAUCUUUGGAGCAUUUGGAUGCAUCAGACUCAUCUUUCUCAGGAGGACUGCCCAACUCAAUCGGGAAUCUAGUGUCCUUGGAGUAUUUAAGUCUUUCAUCACCCAAUUUAUCAGGAUCAAUUUUGAUAUCAUUGGGAAACCUCUCACAACUCAAUUAUUUAGAUUUGUCAUGGAACUAUUUUAGUGGACAAAUUCCAUCUUCACUUACAAAGCUUAGGCAACUUGAAUUUUUGGACAUUUCUAAUAAUCAACUAGAAGGUUCCAUUCCUGAUGAAGUAGCUGCCUUUCCUAAUCUAAUUUCUUUAAACUUAUCUUUUAAUUUGAUCAACGGAACGAUUCCAUCAUGGUUGUUUACAGCUUCCACAUUGAAGUACAUAGCUCUCAUGCAUAAUCAACUCAAUGGUGAUGUCAAGGAAUUUCAAUACAAAUCACUAGAAGAGAUCUCUUUAGAGAAUUAACACUUGGUUACCUUCUUAAUCAAGUUAAGCAAGGAAAAAGAAGAAAUCGGUGUCACUUGCUAAAGUCAUCUGGGCUGGCAAUUCCUUCAUCACAAGCAAAUUUUGCUUUACUUUGCUGAAUCAAAGAUUUUACUAAGCUUUGCUUAGUAACUCCGUGUGCUUAAACUAUCCAGUUGCCAACUUGGCUUAACCUUGGACCAUGUUGAGAAGAACACUAACUGGCCAUUACCAAUGGAGCCAAAACUUUCCUAUAAUUUCAGUUGUUCAUAAUAAGAGACCUGUUCUUUUCAAAUUUUAUUCAUAAUUUAGCCUUCUGAUAGUAUUCGGUUGGAUCGGAGCUUUUGCAAUGCCAAAUUCAAGUCUUUUCUUUUCUCAGUUCAGGGUAGAGACGGUUACCUCUAAGAACUUUAGUCUAAGGAGAGAAUUGUAAUUCUAAAAUCUAUGGGGGCAAGUUUUGUCAUUUCUGCUUCUCUCACUUCCCACUUGCAGCGAGCAAAAUCUUUCCUUCACCAGCCAGACUUCUCCCAAAGACCCCUCUUGGAGUAAUGAAGAGACCACCCUUCCAUGGGAAUUCUCUUCAUCCCAGUAAAACCUGAAACUCCCUUCUUUUUCUCUUUCUCCUUUUUCCAUAUUUUGUUUAAACAUUUUGUAGCAGGAUUAGGAACUUAAUUUUCCGCAUUUAGAUUUUCUUUUUGCCCUCACCAUCAUGCCAAUUUUAUCUUCACCUUCCUUAUCAGAAUGAAUUGAGAUCCUCCCCAUCACAAACUUCUGUGUCCAUAAUAAAUAGUAUGAAAAUGUAGCAAAGGUAUUGCAGGCUGUGGCAUUGCAAAGCCAUUUCUUCUUCAUCUUCUUAUUCAUGGCUACCAGCAUCACCACUAAUAGCGACUAUUAAAGUUGAGUUGUGGCUGCAAGCAUCAGCCUCUGUUAGUGAAACAAAAGACAACGGUCAUGUUAUUCAUCCAUUCAUCAUCAUAAAGUUUGUACAAGGGAUAUGUUAAUACAUAUUAUCGCAAGCAUGCACAACACCACGUAAUGGCUUUUGAAGCUGAGCAAGCACGCGCUAAUUUGCUUGCUGUAGAGAUAGGUUGCCCACGUGGCAUUCAUUAGAAGACUUGGAAAGUCUUUUGCUUUUCAUCAAGAAAUGGUCUAAAUAUUAAGUACUGGACAUCCUUGCCAACCAUCAUUCCUAUAAUUGGUACACCAUAAUGAGUAUUUGCUUUUGGACCAAAUUGGUCUACCAAUUGUUAAAAUAACUUGAAAUUUGAAACCAUGGUCUACCGAGAAUCAAACUUUAGACAAUAAGAAAUAACAUGAAUAAUAAACAAAUGAAAUUAGAUGUGAACAUGAAGACAGAUCUCCGAAAGUGAUUAUUUAUUUCUUUUCUCACUCUAUUAUGAAAGGGAAUUAUCAAUUAAAAUUAAAAUUUAACUCUUAUAUUCAUACUUCAAUAAUUCACUUUCAUGCGUUAUCAAUGAAUUACAAAACUGCUAUGGAUAAAAAUUACUAUUCACAUGAUCAAACAAAUGAUUAUUACUACAAAAUCACAAAAUAAAAUAAAUAAACAUCUCAAAUUGAAUUUACCAUAAUAAAAUAUUAUAUAUAUGACAACAAAAAAAAUAUAUAUUUGACAACAAAAAGUUAAAAUUUGUAGGAAGCAUUUUUUGCCUUCCCUGUGUUAUAGACAGUUUCUUUUCCUCUUGAAGACGCGACCAACAUUAAUUUGCUCCUUGCAAUAAUCCCAACCUCCAACAUUAAAAUGAAAAAGAAAAAUGGGUGAGAAGAUAUGGCUUUGGUCAGUCGAGUCUAAUUGACAAUCUCUGUUCCAAAAUUGACAAAGAAACAUCAAUAUGAAAUUAGGACUCUUCUUUUUGUUCUUGCCUUGAAAGAAUUAAAUUCAACAUCGAGAUGGACAUUACCAAAGUAAAAGGGAGAUUCCUAAAGCUUUUCCAUAGAUUUUUGAAGAAGUAUUUUAACUAAUUCUCUCUCAAAAAAAAAAAAAAGGAAUAGAGAUGCUUUAUUAAAGAAAAUUCUAACUAAUACAAAUUAGCUUCAUGUUUGUGAUCCUAAAUCUAAUAAUGUAUAUCUUCAUAAGAUUUCAAGAAAUUAGUUCCAGCAUUCAGUCUUCUUGCUUCUCUCAUGUUUUCUAGUAUAGCCCAGUCAAUACUGUAAAUUGCCCUUGUUGGGGAGAAUUCUGCAAUGUUUCAGUGAGUGCACGUUGUGGGGGCAAUUCCAACACGGUAGAAGAUUAAAUUUCAGCCUGGUGUAGACCAUAUUAGCAUUAAUAAGACCAAGUUUAUAAUGGAAUGAUUGGAUCACACGUCCAUAUUGUCCUUUUACGGAAAUAACCACCUCACCUUUUUCUUUAAGAUUAGUUUAAUUUUUCCUUUUGACAUGUGGUCUUGGUCUCUUUGAUCAUCUCAUAUUUUCUCUAAUAGAAACUCUCUGUGAAAAGACAAAUCACUGAUCUUAAUGAGCUAGAUAAUCUAAUUAAUGAAUCAGAAGAAAAGUCUUGAUAUGAAAAUUUCGACUUUUACUGCAUAUUAUUUACAAAUGACAGCAUCAACCUCAUUCAUCACGCAGAGACUUUGUAUAGGAGACAAGACACCAUGGACAGUUUGAAUAAGGAAUGCAAUGUCUUUGAAGUGUUGUUUACUCUGAAACUUUGAAGUAGCAGACUACUUUUAACAGGAAAAAGUUAGAGGGACUUGGUAAACUAAUUUGUCUUGAAUGCAUUGACGUGAAGUUGGGGUUCUGCAGUGGUAUAAACAUGAUGCAAAAUGGCUCUGAUAAAGGAAAUUUUAUCAUCGCUGCGCUUUUGAAUUAUUGAUUUCUUUAUUUCUUUCUUUUCCCCUUUAAGUUAAAAAGAAACUUACGAACAUAAAGAAUGAAUAAAUAAAAUCAAAAUUAAUACGCGUUUUAGUUAAGAAAAAAAAAAUAAAAGAGAGAAAGACGGAAAACCUUUUCAAAAUGUUUACUUUAGAAGUAGAAGUCAUAUAGAUUUUUUCAUGCACGUAUUUCACGCGAGAAUGGUAAAGAGUGAUACGUCAUUGCUCUAUUCCUCUUUAAUCUGUAUGUUAGAUUAUGGAUUCUUAUCUUCUCUCAUUAUACUUUAUUAGAAAUUUAACAAGAUGGAAUUGAACUUAAUCUUUAUUUUAAUUUGAUAUGAAAAUUUAGAAAAAUGUUAUGAAGCAAAGGGUAAUGGCACUCUCAUAACGACAAUUGGUGUAGACCAUGACUUUUCAUCAACCCAAAUUUGGGGCCAAACUAAAUUUGAGAUACAACAUAAAUAAAUACUACAUUUAUGGUCUUUGUUUCUGUUCUUCCUCUGAAUUAACUUGAAAUUUAUCACCUCUUUUCUUAACACGGCAAGAUUAAUUUAAAGUAUGGUGUACUCCACAUUAUCAUUAAUGUAAAAAAAUAUAUAAUGGAAUGAUUGAAUCAAAUGCCUUUUUUUUUUCUUUUGGUCGGUACCACCUCCUUUUGCAUUCAAAUUAGCUUGAUUUUUUUUUUCUUUUUGACCAAGACCCAAAAAGUUAACAUCGAUAAGCCUUGUUAGUCAUCUUAUCUUCUCUCUAAUUGAAACUCUCCAAUUGUUGUUUACUUCGAACUUUGAAGCAGCAGACUACUUUUCACAGGAAAAAGUCAGAGAGACUUGGUAAACGAAUUUGUCUUGAAUGCACUGACGUGAAGUUGGUGGUUCUGCAAUGGGUGGAUCUCAUGUCCCUACGCCCUAUUUUCUUUAAGAUAGCUCAAUUGACGGUUUAAAGAAGCUAGUUCCAGCGUUAAGGUUUUCCUGCUUAUCUCAUUUUUUCUACAAGGUCAAUGCUGCAAUAUUUUAGUCUAGUGUAGUCCAUAUUAGUAUCUAAUGGAAUUAUUAAAUCAAUUGCUUAUAUUUGCCAUUUAUUGGGCACCACCUUCUUAUGCUUUCAAUUUAACUUGAUUUUUCUUUUUCGCUUGAGACCUAAAAAAUUAACAUUCACAAGCCUUCUUAGUCUUCGUGGACAUUUUUUUUUUCUUGACGAAAAGACAUAAUUGGUGGACAUCUGAUGUGAAAUUGGUGGAUCCCAUGUCCCUAACACCCUAUUUGCUUUGAGGUAGCUUCGUUAUAAAAUUCACCGGUCUUUUUGUGAAUUGACUUAAAAAUUAUUGGAUCCAUAAUUUCCUCAGUUUCCUAUGACACUAAUACUCUUUUCUUUCGUUUUAUAUUGAUUUUAGCAGUUAACAUGGCACCUUAUAUAAUGCCAACUUCAACCACAAGUUUAUAUAUGAAUACAAAAUUAUAUUUGUACAUUCUUUAUAUGUAUAUACAGAGUGAAAAAUAAAUAAAAAAUUAUAUCUCAGAAUGAAUCUGUAUAUGAACGAAACCAGUAAGUUAUAAACUGUGUAUUGUUUACCACUUGGCACCAAUGCUGCCAUUCGUUUGACAUUGGUUUGAGUGGGCAGUUUAUAAAUACUCAUCUAUGCCUUCUCACCACCACUCAUAUCAAUCAUAUCAUACCAUUAUUAUAUUCCAUUUCUCUUCUUAAGAAAUUAAGAUGUGCUGCUUACUCAUCAGAUCCUUUCAACUCCUCUACCUUCUUUUCUUCCUCUUGAAUUUUCAAGCGUAUCUUUCAUCUUGUUCUUCUUCAAUAACACCAUUAUGCUCUCCUGAAGAAGCUGCUGCAUUGAUCCAAUUCAAGACCUCUUUUUCCAUCAGUCAAGAUUCAUCUUGGAAUUCUGAUCAUUAUGCUGGCAUUAACUCUUAUCCCAAGACAAAUUCAUGGAAGGAGGGUUCAGAUUGCUGCUCAUGGGAUGGGGUCACUUGUGAUAGCAUGAAAGGUCAAGUGAUUGGCCUGGACUUGAGUUGCAGUCAGCUAUAUGGCAGAAUCCCUUCCAAUAGUAGUCUCUUCCAUCUUCCACACCUACAGAAACUCAACCUAGCCCACAACAAUUUUUACUUUUCCAAGAUGUCAUCUAAGUUUGGUGGGUUUGCAAGCCUAAUGUAUCUCAAUCUCUCUGAUUCAAACUUUGCAGGUCAAGUCCCAUCCCAAGUCUCCCACUUGUCGAAAUUGGUUUCACUUGAUCUCUCUCAGAAUUAUUAUCAACCACUUGACAGGCAUACUCUGGAAGGACUCGUUGAGAACCUAACAGAGGUGAGACAACUUUCUCUUGGUCAUAUCAAUAUGUCUUCUAUUAAUCCUAAUGCCUUGACGAAUCUAUCCUCAUCUUUAAGGGCCCUUAAUCUUGAGGGUUGUGAUUUGCGAGGAAAAUUCCCAAAAAACAUUUUUCACCUGCCUAACCUCAAGUCCCUCUAUUUAGGAUACAACAAAAACCUCGCUCUCUAUUUUCCAAAGUUGAACUGGACCAGCAAUCUUGAACUUUUAGAUCUAUCAAGCAUGUUCUUCUCUAUAGAAUCGACAGAUUCAAUAGGCAAUUUACAAUCUUUGAAAUAUUUGGAUUUAUUUGGGACUUCUUUUCCUGGAGGGUUGCCUGAGUCUAUCACGAAUUUAUCAUCUUUGGAGCAUUUGGAUGCAUCAGACUCAUCUUUCUCAAGAGGAUUGCCCAACUCAAUCGGGAAUCUAGUGUCCUUGGCGUAUUUAAAUCUUCAAUCAUCCAACUUGUCAGGAUCAAUUCCGAUAUCAUUGGGAAACCUCUCACAACUCAAUCAUUUAGAUUUGUCAUGGAACUAUUUUAGUGGACAAAUUCCAUCCUCACUUACAAACCUAAGACAACUUGAAUUCUUAUCCCUUUUUUAUAACCAACUAGAGGGUUCCAUUCCUGAUGAGGUGAAUGUCUUUCCUAAUCUAAUCUCUCUAGACUUAUGUUCUAAUUUACUCAAUGGAACACUUCCCUCAUGGUUGUAUACAGUUUCCACAUUGAAGCACAUAUAUCUCAACGAUAACAAGCUCAGUGGUGAUAUCAAGGAAUUCCAGUGCAAAUCACUAGAAGAGAUCUCUUUUGGGAAUAAUAAACUCAAAGGUCCUAUUCCAUCUUCAAUAUCCCAACUUGUGAAUCUUACUAGAGUUGACUUUUCACAUCUAAGUGGGUUUGUACAGAUUAACAUGUUCUCAAAACUCCAAAAUCUCCAAUACCUUGAUCUUUCAUAUAGCAGUCUAUCCUUAAACUCUAAUGGUACUAGUGCUGAUUAUGGAUCUCCAAAUCUUCAGUAUUUGUUCUCGUCUUCUUGCAAUGUCUAUGAAUUUCCCCAGUUUUUGAAAGGUUCAAAAAGUUUGGAACAUUUAGACCUUUCCAACAAUAAAAUUUAUGGCAAUAUUCCUAACUGGAUGUGGGAUGUGGGGAAGGACUCUUUGCAGUAUUUGAAUCUAUCUCACAACUCUUUGACAGAUUUUGAGCAAAUUCCAUGGAAGGGAAUUAAAUUUCUUGACCUUAGCUCAAAUUUCAUUCGAGGAGAUCUUUCGAUUCCACCAUCAACAACAGUGAUCUUUUAUAUCUCAAAUAAUAGUUUGAGUGGAGAGAUCCCUUCUCUGCUAUGCAAUGCAAAUUCCCUUGAAUUUCUUGGCUUGUCUCACAACAACUUGAGUGGAAUUAUUCCACAAUGUUUUGGAAACUUAAGCCAAAGCCUUUUAGUGUUGAAUCUACAAAUGAACAAAUUCCGUGGAUUCAUUCCUCCGGCUUUUACAAAGGGAUGUAAAUUGAAUUAUCUCAACUUAAAUGGUAAUCAAUUAGAAGGGCCUUUCCCACAAGCCAUCAUUAAUUGUAGAGGUUUGGAAGUGUUAGAUCUUGGUAACAACAAGAUCAAUGAUACAUUUCCUCAUUGGUUGGAAAGUCUUACACACCUACAAGUUCUUGUGCUGCAUUCGAAUCAAUUGCAUGGUUCCUUUCAGGACCCGUGGUCCAAUCAUUCUUUUUCCAAAAUUCAAAUUUUUGAUCUGUCGAAUAAUUAUUUUACUGGUCUACUUCCCGUUAAAUAUAUAAAAAAUUUCAAGGCUAUGAUAAAUCUCUCAAAAGAUAAAAGUGCAAGGUCAUACAUGGGAGUGUAUGCUCGUUCUGCUGCUGCUGACUUCUAUAGCUAUUCUAUUGAAAUUGCAAUGAAAGGAGUAGAGAUUCAAUUGGAGAAAAUAUUCAUCGCGUUGACGAGCAUUGACCUCUCAAACAAUGAGUUUCAAGGUGAGAUUCCAAAGGUUAUUGGAGAGCUUGACUCACUCAAAGGGCUAAACCUUUCUCAUAAUAACCUUAGUGGUUGUAUCCCCACAUCAAUGGGGAAUUUGACAGCACUUGAGUCACUGGAUCUCUCUUCGAAUAAGCUUGUUGGGAAGAUUCCUACACAGUUGAAUAGUUUGGGUUUUCUUGAAGUGUUAAACCUUUCACAAAAUCAGCUCGUUGGACCUAUACCUCAGGGAAAACAAUUCGAUACCUUUGGCAGGGAUUCCUACGCUGGUAACUUGGGACUGUGUGGGUUUCUAUUAUCAAGGAGCUGUGACAACACUGAGGCACCCUUUUUUCAUGACAGCACUGAGGCACCCAUUUUUCAUGUGGAAGCAGAUUCUGAAUCUGGAUUUGUGUGGAAAGCGACAUUCAUGGGUUAUGGAAGUGGACUAGUGUUGGGAAUAUCUGCAGCAUAUAUCAUGUUCACACUUGGAAGACCCAAAUGGCUUGUGAGGAUGGUUGAAGAAGUAGGCUACAAAUUGAAGAGAUACCUCAGAGGACGAAGGAAUUUGUAAAUUAGUAAGAAGCCCUCAUCUGUCACUGGUGGAUAGAAUGGCUUGUGUUCCUUUUAUGUUCAAUAUGAUUUUCGUUUCUUGACUGUGUUUUGUUUUGUCUUGCGCCCUGACUUUUCUUCCAGGGGUUGUAUCAUGUUUUCAAGUUGUUUGUUACAGGGGAUGCCUUGUUUUUGAUCUGGUAUGUUGCUUGGCUGUUGCUUAUAGCCAUCCAAAUGCUUGUUCUCUUCUGUUUUAUUCACCAAUGCUUAUUUCUAGAAUAAAUUUUCUUUCAUACUAAUGAAAUUGUAAGCCUGUUAUGGAUGCUAUAUGGAAUUUAAAGAUGAAUUUUCUAUCCCUUUUACAGAUGUUGACAUGAAAUUUUAGUUGAAUUCACCAUGCUUAAAUAACUUCUUUUUUUUUUUUACGUUUGGAGGCAGCACUGAGGGAGGAUAACAUUGAAUCCUAUAAUUAAAACUGGAGCAAUGGAAGCUUUUAAUUUAUCUCAAAUUUUGCCCUUUCACAGAGUACAGCAGGCAAGCAGAAGGACUUAACAGCAUCCAAUAGUCAAUGUUUUAAUACCUGCCACUCCGCUACCUUCUUAAUCAAGUCAAGCAAGCAAAAAGAAAUCAGUGUUACUAGCUAAAGGCAUCUGGGCUGGCAAUUCCUUCAUCACAAACAAAUUUUGCUUUACUUUGCUGAAUCAAAGAUUUUGCUUAUAUAUAUGUAUAUUGAAGAACUGAGCUUUGCUUUCUAAACUUCAGGUGCUUAAACUAUCCAGUUGCCAACUUGGCUUAACCUUGGACAUGCCUUGGACCAUGUUGAGAACAACAGUAUGCGUAGUUACCAAAUCUAGUUACCAUGCCUUCACACUUACAUCUUUGACUGGCCAUUACCAAUGGAGCCAAAACUUUCCUAUAAUUUCAGUUGUUCAUAAUAAAAGUCUUGUUCUUUUCAAUUUCUAUUCAUAAUUAAUCCUUCUGCUAGUUGUAUAUGACAACAGAAAAUAAAAAAACAUUAUACUAUUUAUUCGUCAAUUGUUUAGCUCCUUGCAAUGGGAAAAUUUUAUAAUAUGAAAUUAUAAAAAAACAUUAUAUUUAUAAAAGAUAUAGUUUUCGUCAGUCGUUGCUUAAUUGACUAUCUCUACUCCAUAAUUGACACAAAGCCAUGAAAUAUGAAAUUAGAACUCUUCUUUUUGGUCUUGCCUUGAAAGAAUAAAAUCCGAUGUGAAGAUGGACAUUACCAAAGUAAUGGAGAGAUUUCUUAAGUUUUUUUAGAGAUUAUAAAAGAAGUAUUUUGACUAUUUCUUUCUCAAAGAAAGGAAAAAGAAUAGGAGAUGUUCUGCUAAAAAAAUUCUAACUAAAGCAAAAUUAGUUUCAUGUUUAUGAUCCAAAACAUUAGCAAGAAAUUGAAUAUUUAUCGACAAAUUGAAAGCAGAAAAAAGAUUAGCAAGUUUCCUUUGAGGAGUUUUAACCUUACGCCGAAACCCAUAGGACAUUCCUUGCCUAGAACAUUUUCUACUUUUCGUAUACCAAAAGGUCUUCUUUAUAUAAUAAAUUAAUUAAUUAAUAAAACAAAUUGACUGUUUGAUUCAAAGUGUUAAACUAGAGAAAAUUUCACAUGUAUGCACUGCACAGGCGUCUUCGUCAAUUAAUUGUUACUAAUUUGCUUAUUCAAAUCCUUAGUGAAAGACUAUAGGGUCCAAACAUCGUUUGCCUUAAGGAACUAUUGACCUCACUUUUUCUUUUAUUUCUUUAAAAGAAAAAAUUACUGUAUAUAACAAGUAAUUAACAUACGAGAAGUGGGAUCAGCACAUAGAAAAUUGUAAUGGCAACAAAACUUUCCAACCGGAAAAAGUUUAAGAGACUUGGUAAACUAAUUUGUGUUGAAUGCACCUGCGUGAAGUGGGGUUCAUGCAAUAUAUAUAUAUAUAUAUAGGCCACAAAGACUUUUUCAUGCAUGUACAGCAUAAGGUUGAUACAUUGAGGGAUUGGUAUGUGAAUCAGCAUAAAGUUUUCCAAAUGAUUUGGUAUGUUAAAAAGCAAAUAUGAUGGAUUCAAAAGCAUAAAGUGGCAAAAUUGAGUCUUUAUAUAUACAUAUAGUCUGCAGGUGUUAGAUGUCAGAUUAUAAACUUUAAUGAAAUAAUAUUCCAAACUUUGAACAUUUAUAAUUUCAAUUGCUUUCAGACCAAUUGACAAUUAAAUUACCUACUAUAAUUAGAGGAUUGUAACUUACACAGAAGGCUUAUAGCUAAGUUAGACAUGAGGUAAUCAAUUCUAAAUCCAUCCAACUCAAAAAGCUAAGUUAAACUCUCGAUCUUGUCUAUAACAAACUUGAAAACCAUGCAAUCAUUGUUGCCAUUCAAUAGAAAAACAAAGGUCAAUCAUUGUCUGAAAAGUGGCAUUUCAUGUGGCAAAUGAUAAUUGUAGUUACAACAGUAAAACCGUAAAACAUUGAAUUAUACCGAGAACCAAAUCAAGAAGUGCAAUCUGCACAUAGAAAAUUGUAAUGGGGAUAUGAAAUAUAGGCCACAUGGACUUUUUCAUGCACGUACAGCUCAAAGGUUGAUACAUGGAAAGAUCUGAUAUAUAUUUUUUGAAUGGCAUAAUAUAAUUAGUAAAGGAGGGAAGAGUCUCAUCAGAAAAGGAGAAACUCCAAACCCCAAUACAAAGGGGACAUCAAACAGAAAAUCGAAUCCCAGAGCAACAAGGACACCAAGCAAGAACAGUCAGGAAAAAAAGGAAUAACAAAUAGAAGAAGGAGAAAAGCACCAGAAGAAGAACCCGAAAACACAGAAAUUAACCAAAAACUUGAAUCAGGAUAAAGUUUUCCAAACGAUUUGGUAUGCCGAAAGCAUAGUGGGGUAAACAGCAAAAGUGAUAGGUUCAAAGGGAAUACAGUGGCAAAAUUGAAUCCUAUUUGUAUAUAUUUGUCUUUAUCCUCUUUAAUCUGCACAUGUACAUAAUGUGAGAUUAUCCAAAUUCUUAUAGUCUCUAUAUUUCAUUAGAAAUUGAACAAAAUGGAGUUGAAAGUUACUCUCUAAUUUAAUUUGACAUGAAAAUUUAGAAAAAUGUUCUGAUUUUGAUACUUUUAUUAAAGUAGCAAUAAAAAAAUCUAAAUUAAUUUGAGGUAUCUUGAAAAAAAAUCUUCGAAUUCCACCUUCAACAACAAGAUUCUUUUUUAUCUCAAAUAAUAAUUUGAGUGGAGAGAUCUCUUCUCUAAUAUGCAAUGUGAGUUCUCUUAUAGUUCUUGACUUGUCUCACAACAACUUGAGAGGAAUAAUUCCACAAUCCUUUCGAAAUUUGAACAAAAGCCUCUCAAUGUUGAAAUUAGAGAGGAACAAGUUUUGUGGAACCAUUCCUCUAACUUUUGUGAAGGGAUGUGAACUGAAUUAUCUAAACUUACAUGGCAAUCUAUUAGAAGGACUUUUAACACGAUCCAUCAUUAAUUGCCAAGGUUUGGAAGUGCUAGAUCUUGGUAACAAUAAGAUCAAUGAUACAUUUCCUCAUUGGUUGGGAAGUCUUGCACAGCUACAAGUUCUUGUAUUACGAUCAAACAAAUUCCAAGGUUCCACUAGGUCCAGUAAUUCAUUCUCCAAAAUCCAAAUUUUUAACCUCUCAAAUAAUUACUUUAAUGGUCCACUUCCUGUUAAAUAUAUAAAAAUUUGAAAGCUAUGAUAAAUCUCACAAAAAAUGAUAGUGCAAGUUCAUACAUGGGGCUGGAUGCAUAUUGUGGAUCUUAUAGCUAUUCUAUUAAAAUUGCAAUAAAAGGACAAGAGGUUGAAUUAGAGAAAAUUUUCAUCACGUUGACUAGCAUUGACCCCUCAAAGAAUGAGUUUCAGGGUGAGAUUCCAAAGGUUAUUGGAGAGCUUAACUCACCCAAAGGGCUUAACCUUUCUCAUAAUAACCUUAGUGGUUGUAUCCCCACAUCCAUGGGGAAUUUGAUUAGUCUUAAAUGGCUGGACCUCUCUUCAAACAAGGUGGUUGGGAAGAUUCCUACACAGUCAACUAGUUGGGGUUAUCUUGAAGUCUUAAACCUUUUAGAAAAUCAGCUCGUUGGACCUAUACCUCAAGGAAACCAAUUCAAUACCUUUGGCAAUGAUUCUUAUGCUGGUAACUUGGGAUUGUGUGGGUUUCCAUUGUCAAAGAGAUGUGACAACACUGAGGCAUCCUUUUUUCAUGAGGAAGAAGAUUCUAAAUCGUGAUUUGGGUGGAAAAUGGCAUUGAUGGGUUAUGGAAGAGGACUAGUGUUGGGAAUAUUUGUAGCAUGCAUCAUCUUCACACUUGGAAAACCAAGAUGGCUUGUAAGGAUGGUUGAAGAAGUAGGCUACAAAUUGAAGAGAUACCUCAAAGGACGAAGGAAUUUCUAAAUUAGUAAGGAUGCUGUUGCAGACUUUGUAUUUUUCUUCCUAGAAUAAAUUUUCCUUCAUGGUAAUGAAAUUGCAAGCAUGUCAUUGUGUUCGUGGAAUUUAAACUUGAAUUUUCUACCCUUUUUACAAAUUUUGACAUGGAAUUUUAGUUGCAACCACUGCCCCUAUAUAUCUUUCGUCUGUAAGCUAUACGAACAUAUUAAUAUGAAUACAUAGCACAUGAAUUAAAAGAACAACGAAUGAAGUGCAAUUAAGGCAUGAGGUCUUUCUCCAAAGCUUCUCCAACUAAAUUAGUUCUUCUGAUUUGUUGGGGAAUAUAGAAGGUGGGGUUUUAAUUUGUUUAAGCAACAAAAAACUUUGUAUAGAAUAUACUUUAUAGUGGGUUCAUUUCAAAAAUACCGAUCAUAAAUAAGGUAUUUUGGAAAAUAGUCAUCUCUAUAAUUUUAAUUACUUUUAGCCGAGAGAAAUUUAAUUUUGGAUAAAAUUACUCUCAAUGAAACCGAUCCAUAUGUUUAGGUCUGCACCUCAAACCGAUUCAUAUCCUUUGAACUUUCCUCACCAGACCAUACAUCUCUAGAGUGUUCUUUGUUAGAAAGAAAAACUUUUAAGCAUUUUGAGCAUUUUGGAGUAGUUUUUGAGACACGAAGAAAAACUUUUGAGUAUUUUGAGUAUUUUAGAGUGGUUUUUGAUAUAUAAAGAAAAACUUUUUAGCAUUUUGAGCAUUUUUCAUCAAAUAGGUAUAUUCAUUGAUUAUAUUGUUAAAUAGAAUAUGGUGCGUUGUUUGAAAUUGUUGAUUUUGUAAAAUAGAAUUCAAUAGUUUUAGUGGUUUUUAAGCAUUACGUAACCGGUUUUUAGGCAUUACGUGAUUAGUUUUUAAACAUUGCGUGACUAAUUUUUAGGUAUUGCAUGACUAAUUUUUAGGUAUUGCGUGAUUGAUUGAUAUAACAUUACCUGACUGGUUGAUAGGCAUUGUGUGACUAGUUAGUAAGGCAUUGUGUGACUAAUUUUUAGGCAUUACCUGAAAAUCAGUCACGCAAUGACUACAACCUAGUUACACAAUGCCUAAAAAUAAAAAAAACGCAAUGAUUAAGUCAUGCAAUGCUUAAAAAUUUGUCUCACAAUACUUAAAAACUAGUGACAUAAUGUCUAAAAACCAGUAAUGCAAUACUUAAUAACUAAUUGAUUUGCUUGCUUGUAGUCAAGUUUAAGUUGCCAAACAAUGUUCUAAUUUGUAGAUAUGUCUAAUCAAUUUCAACCCCUUAACUUUGGAUAAACGAAUAAAUCCAAACCCCUAAAACAUAUACAUUGAUGUUAUCUCUUCUCUUUGGAAGCACGAGAAAAAGCUAGAUGGCGAGAUAGAGAGUAUUUGGUAGAAACGAGAAAUCAGGAUUUAACUUUAAAAUUUUUGUCUAAAUGAUGGGAUAAAGAAAACCGAAGCUAUUUUAAUUUAUGUGAAAUUGUUUAAAAGGCAUUGUUGUCAAGUCAUGUCAAAAAUUAGCUAAAAAUAGUUUAAAUUAUAAUAAAUAAUAUUUUUGAAUUGAGUUUAUGAGGAAGGUUUCUCACAAUUAUUACAGUUCAAUUGUGGCUGCAAGCAUCAACCUCUGUUAGAGAAACAAAAAACAAGGAUGAACAGAGGAUAAUACCAGCAAGGCAACGGUCAUGUUAUUAAUUAAAUCACAACACUUAUCUGGAACGUAAGAGAAAAUUUUCAGGAAAGAGAUAAAUUGAAAACAAGGAAGUGAAAAUGAUUUUCAUCACUGCAUUAAGCGUAUUUAUACAUGUGGUGAUUUUCAUCAUUGAAAGAAUAAGAACGAGAAAACAGUUAACCUAAAAAUAAGGGAUCAAAGAUAGCAUAUAUCAUUCAAAUAACUGCUGUUUUUAAUGGCUCACGACAUGUGGCCUUUAUUACAGCAUAAUUAAAAACUACUUAAGAAUAAACUUCUAAGUCAGGUGGUUGACAUGUGGACAUCUUUAUCUAUCAAGUACUAUGCCACACCUCUGCGACCGAGACUUCAAUAUCCAUUAUUAUCACACCAAACACUUAGUUUCAGGUCAAGCAUGCACAACACCACGUAAAUCAUGGGACAACAUGAUUUUCUUUGAAGUAUUGUUUACUCUCAACUUUUCUCUUGGGGAGAUUUGUUGGAUGUUUCAUUGAGUGCAAGCAUCUUGGUGGAGUCAAUUGCAACUCAAAGCAUAAACUCUUUUUCUACGAGAAAAACGUUUCAUUAAAUAAACGUUGGUGGAAUUUAUAAUGGAAUGAUCGGUUCAAUUGGAUUCAAUUCCUCUCUUUACUUUUAGAUUAAUUUGAUUUUUUUUUCUUUGCCAAGAUUUGAAAACUUAACAUUGAGAGAUCUUCCUAUUCACCUCAUCUUUUCUCCAACUGCAAUUCUUGGCUGAAGAUAAAGUAGUAAGCUUGACGAGCUAGACAAUCUAAUUAAUAAAUCAGAACAAUAGACUCGAUAUAUACAUAUAGAAGAUCAUGACAACCCAGACUUUUUUUUUUUUUCUAAAAUAUCAUCCUCAUAAGAACUUCUUGUUUUGAAAGUUUUAAGAUUGCAAACUUAAUUUGUAGUUGAUCACAUUAUUAGCAAAGAUAUCAUCCAAAUCAAUUUAGUUUCAAUCUCACAUUAUAACUUUAUUCAUGAAUAAGAUAAAUUACAAAAAAAAAAAAUCAGUGUUUCAUUUUAAAGCCAAAGAAAAAAAAGGAAAUACCAUCCCAUAGUCUAAAAUCUUGAAUAUAAAUUUGAAGUUGUUUAUAUUGUAGGGCUCAAUUCCCGUACCAAUUAAGAUAAUAUAUAUUGCAUAACGUCACCACUUUGGAAAUGAUUUAUAUAUAUAGCGUAAACGUGGGUCUGUGUGGUGGGCCAUUGUCAAAGAAAUGUGGAAACACCAUCUUCAGAGUCUGAAGGAAAUGAUGAUCAUGGAAAUGGAGUGGUGUUUCGCAUGCCUAUAACAUAUAUUAUUAUAAACAAUGUGCCAAUACAAACACAAUCAAAACCUUGAGGUUGUGCCACAACGUGUGUCUCCACUUCCCUUGAGUCUGAUUUGAUGGUUGACUCCCAAAGUUUUCUUAGUGCAUCCAUCCACUAUCACUUUAUCAAUUUAAUAUGCAAAGAAUUCUUCAACUUUUUAGUUAUUUAGUUGCAAUAUUCAAUUUGGAAUUGAGUUUGAAAAGUGUAAAUUACUUGUUUUUCCCCUUAAAUUCCCUCCAUUAAUACUUUAGCAAUGAGUCCGUGGAAAAUCAUACAUUGUAUCACAGAGAAUUUAGAGAAUGAUAUGAGAAAACUGAGUUACAGCUAAGUAGCAGACAGUAAAAAGACUAAAAUAAUAAUAAGUAUCGUUGUUAGUUUUGUUUAUUUUUCUGACCUUGAUAUUUAUCUGUCAAUACUUGGGCAUCCAAUCGUCAAUGUUUUUAAUACCUGAAGAAAUAAUGGUUUUCCUACAGAUAUUAAGUCAGAGCUAGUCUCACCAUCACGCAAACUGUAUCUUAACCUUCCUUUCCAGAGUGAAUUGAGAUCCUCUCCAUCACAACUUUAUAAUUUCCCUCAAUGUUUCUAUUUAUUCUCUAACAUUCUAGACUAAGAAAUUAAAAAUGUCAUGUCUAAGCAUUAAUCUAAAUCAGAAGGUAAUUCUAAGCCUUUGUCACUUGAAAAUCCUUAAUUCUCAGCCAACCCACUUUCAUUUCUUCGAGAAAGUGCUCAUCUUCCAUGCUUUUGAAUCGAAAUUUGAAGUACCCAUCAAAGUGCUCAUUUCGUGGAUACUUGUGCAAUGUUUCAGUGAGUGCGCAUUUGAGGCAUAAACUUUUUCAUUUGCUUUUAAAGGGAAAAACGAGUCAUUAAAUAAACUUAAGACUUUGAAAUUUAUUAGUAGCAAAAGUAUUCAUCCAAUCAAUUUCAAAAGUAUUGAAAUUGCGUGAAGUUGCGUAAAGUGGGGUUUGUAUGGUCUGCCAUUGUAAAAGAAAAGUGGCAUUAAAUAACAUUAGAUGGUUGACCUAUGAAUGUGCAAAUGCCAACACAGUCAAAACCUUGAGAUGUUGAUGGUGCCACAACAUGUGCCUUCACUUUCCUUGGGUCAUGAUUAGAUGGUUGACUCCCAAAGGUUUCUUAGUGCAUCCAUCAAUUAUCACUUGAUCAAUUUAAUAUGCAAAGAAUUCUUCAAAUAUUUAGUUAUUUAAUUGCAAUAUUCAAUUUGGAAUAGAGUUUGAAAAAUUGUGUCAAAUUACUCUUUCAUUAAUAGUUCAGCAGAAAAUAUUCAUUGUAUCACAGAGAAUUUAGAGAAUGAUGUAUAAGAAAACUGAUUUAAAGCUAAGUAGCAGAAAAUGGAAGACAAACAAUAAUUGAGGUGUUUCUCAUUCGUUUAUUUGAAAUUGCUAAUACUUAUCUGUGAAUAAUUUGGUCUUAAUUAGAUAUCAUAUCAACAUAGGAGCAGAAGAAGCUUAAGUUAAGAGACAUCAAAGAAGUAAAAAUUAAAGCACAAUUGAAACUAGAAGUACAUGGUAUAAACAAAAUGCAAAAUUGGCCCAGUUGGAGGAAAUUUUAUCAUUGCUGCACUCUUAGAUUAUUUAUCUAUUUAUUAUUAUUUUUCUUCUUUCUUUUCUUCUCUGAGUUAAAAGAAAACUUACAAAUAUGAAGAAUGAAUGAAUAAAGUCAAAAUUAAUAUAUGUUUUGAUUAAGAAAAGAAGAAUGAAAGAGAGGGAGACAGAAAACCUUUUCAAAAUGUUUAUUUUAGAAAUAGAGGUCAUAUAGAACUUUUCAUGUCACGUAUUUCACAUGAGAAUAGCAAAAAGUGAUACACAAUUGCUCUAUUCCUCUUUAAUUGCGUAUUAGAUUAUGGAUUCUUAUUUUUUCUUAUUAUUUUUUAUUAGAAAUUUAACAAAAUGGAGUCGAACUUAAUUUUUAUUUUAAUUUGAUAUGAAAAUUUAGAAAAAUGUUCUGAUUUUUAUACUUUUAUUAAAGUAAUCAUAAGAAUUUUUUAAAUUAAUUUGCAAUAUCUUUAGAAAAUGAAUAUAACAAAAAUCUUGAAUACAAAUUUCAAGUUGAUUAUUAUUGUUGGCCUCAAUUCCCAUAACUAUUAAGAGACGGUUGUUCAAUGAAUGUGGAAAUUCAAACACAAUCAAAACCUUGAGAUAUAGAUAGUUCCACAACAUGUGUCUUCACUCCCCUUGAAUCUGAUUAGAUGGUUGAGUACUCCCAUAGGUUACUUAGUACACUAUAUCACAGAGAAUGAUAUGAGAAAAUUAACUAUUUUACAACAAAGUAACAAACAAUACAAGGCUAAAAUAAUAAUGAGUACCAUUGAGGUGUUUCCCAUUAAUUUAUUUGAAAUUGUUAAUAUUCUUUAUUUUUUAGAUAUCAUAUCAACAAGGGAGCAGAUGAAGCUUAAGUUAAGAGACAUCAAAGAAGUAAUACUUCUUAAUGAACCAAAUUUGUUAUUUCUUGGUGAUUGAGGCUGACAUAAUUGCUUUUGUUGAAAAACACAAAAAGAGAAAAGGAAAGAAUAAUACAAAACAUAUGAGAUUAUGCAAUUGGUACAUGUUCCAUGUCAAAAACAUAUUGAGUAUUGCUUUUGGACCAGGUUGGUCGACAUAAAAGCUCUCCACGUGACCACCGUAACAUUUUCCUCGAUUUGACACAUCAUCAAUUAUGAACUUCCAAGAAACCUGAGAAAACAAAAUUAUGAACUUGGAUUUGGCACCUCUUGACUAGGCAGCUUAUAAAUACUCAUCUUUGCCUUCCCACCAUUCAUGUCAUGCCAUUAAUAUUCAAUUUCUCUUGUUAAGAAACAUGUGGUGCUUACUCAAAGCCUUUCAACUCCUCCACCUUCUUUUGUUCCUCCUGAUUUUUCAAGCCAAUCUUUCAUCUUCUUCUUCUUCUUCAAUUACACAGUUGUGCUCUCCUGAAGAAGCUGCUGCAUUGAUCCAAUUCAAGACCUCUUUUUCCAUCGAUGAAUAUUCAGCUGGGGAAUGCGAUGAAUCUUAUCCUAAGACAAAUUCAUGGAAGGAGGGUUCAGAUUGCUGCUCAUGGGAUGGGGUCACUUGUGAUAACAUCAAAGGUCAAGUUAUUGGCCUUGACUUGAGUUGCAGUCAGCUCUAUGGCAGCAUCCCCUCCAAUAGUAGUCUCUUCCAUCUUCCACACUUGCAGAAACUCAACCUAGCCUCCAACGAUUUUAACUCUUCCAAGAUGUCAUCUAAGUUUGGUCGGUUUGCAAGUCUGGUGUAUCUUAACCUGUCUUUCGCAUCCUUUGCAGGAGAAGUCCCAUCCCAAAUCUCCCACUUGUCAAAAUUGGUUUCACUUGAUCUCUCUUGGAAUUGUUAUCAACCACUUGAUAGGCAUACUCUGGAAGGACUCGUUGAGAACCUAACAGAGGUGAGACAACUUUUUCUUGGUGAUAUCAAUAUGUCUUCUAUUAAUCCUAAUGUCUUGACGAAUCUAUCCUCAUCUCUAAGGGCCCUUAAUCUUGAGGAUUGUGAUUUGCGAGGAAAAUUUCCAAGAAACAUUUUUCUCCUGUCUAACCUCAAGUCGCUCUAUUUAGGAUACAACGAAAACCUUGCUCUCUAUUUUCCAAAGGUGAACCGGAGCAUCAAUCUUCAACUUUUAGAUCUAUCAGGAAUGUCCUUCUCAACAGAAUCGAUAGAUUCGAUCGGCAAUUUACAAUCUUUGAAAUAUUUGGAUUUAUGUGGGACUUCUUUUCCUGGAGGGUUGCCUAAGACUAUCAUGAAUUUAUCAUCUUUGGAGCAUUUGGAUGCAUCAGGCUCAUCUUUCUCAGGAGGAUUGCCCAACUCAAUCGGGAAUCUAGUGUCCUUGGAGUAUUUAAAUCUUCAAUUAUCCGACUUAUCAGGAUCAAUUCCGAUAUCAUUGGGAAACCUCUCGCAACUCAAUUAUUUAGAUUUGACGUCCAACUAUUUUAGUGGACAAAUUCCAUCCUCACUUACAAACCUAAGACAACUUGAAUUAUUAGACAUUUCUUAUAAUCAACUAGAAGGUUCCAUUCCUGAUGAGGUAGCUGCCUUUCCUAAUCUAAUCUCUCUAGAUUUGUCUUUUAAUUUACUCAAUGGAACACUUCCCUCAUGGUUGUAUACAGCUUCCACAUUGAAGUACAUAGCUGUCAGGAAUAACCAACUCAAUGGUGAUGUCAAGGAAUUUCAAUACAAAUCACUAGAAGAGAUCUUUUUAGAGAAUAACAAACUCACAGGUCCUAUUCCAUCUUCAAUAUUCCAAUUUGUGAACCUUACUAUUCUUGACUUAUCAUCAAAUAAUCUAAGUGGUAUUGUAGAGUUUGACAUGUUCUCGAAACUCCAAAAUCUCCAACACCUUCAUCUUUCAUAUAACAGUUUAUCCUUAAGCUCAAAUGGUACUAGUGCUAAUUAUACAUUGCCCAAUCUUCAAUCUUUACACUUGUCUUCUUGCAAUGUCAAAGAAUUUCCCCAAUUUUUAAAAGGCUCAAAAAGUUUGCAACAUUUACAUCUUUUCAACAAUAAAAUUUAUGGCAAGGUUCCCAAGUGGAUGUUGGAUAUGGGGAAGGAAUCUUUGUGGACUUUGAAUCUAUCUCACAACUCUUUUACAGAUUUUGAGCCACUCCCAUGGAAGAAAAUUCAUAUUCUUGACCUUAGUUCCAAUUUGAUUCAAGGAAAUCUUCCAAUUCCACCUUCAACAACAAGAUUCUUUUUUAUCUCAAAUAAUAGUUUGAGUGGAGAGAUUUCUUCUCUAAUAUGCAAUGUGAGUUCUCUUAGAGUUCUUGACUUGUCUCACAACAACUUGAGUGGAAUAAUUCCACAAUGUUUUGGAAAUUUGAGCAAAAGCCUCUCAGUGUUGAAAUUGGAGAUGAACAAGUUUCGUGGAAUCAUUCCUCCUACUUUUAUGAAGAAAUGUGAUCUGAGUUAUCUCAACUUACAUGGCAAUCAAUUAGAAGGGCCUUUAACACAAUCCAUCAUUAAUUGUAGAGGUUUGGAAGUGCUAGAUCUUGGUAACAACAAGAUCAAUGAUACAUUUCCUCAUUGGUUGGGAAGUCUUGCACAGCUACAAGUUCUUGUGUUGCGAUCGAACAAAUUCCAUGGUUCCAUUCAUGGAGCUAGGUCUAGUCAUUCUUUCUCCAAAAUCCAAAUUUUUGACCUCUCAAAUAAUUACUUUACUGGUCCCCUUCCUGUUAAAUAUAUAAAAAAUUUCAAGGCCAUGACAAAUCUCACAGAAGAUGAAAGUGUAAUAGGGUCAUACAUUGGCGGGCAUGGAUCUGGUGGCUAUAGCUAUUCUAUUGGAAUUAGAAUAAAAGGAGUAGAGAUUGAAUUGGUGAAAAUUUUCAUCAAGUUAAUGAUCAUUGAUCUCUCAAAUAAUGAGUUUCACGGUGAGAUUCCAGAGGUUAUUGGAGAGCUUGACUCACUCAAACAGCUUAACCUUUCUCAUAAUAACCUCAAUGGUUGUAUCCCCACAUCAAUGGGGAAUUUGACAGCACUUGAGUCACUAGAUCUCUCUUCAAACAAGCUUGUUGGGAAGAUUCCGACACAAUUGACUAGUUUGGUUUCUCUUGAAGUGUUAAACCUUUCACAAAAUCAGCUGGUUGGACCUAUACCUCUAGGAAACCAAUUCAAUACCUUUGGCAAUGAUUCCUAUGCUAAUAACUUGGGACUCUGUGGGUUUCCAUUAUCAAAGAGCUGUGACAACAUUGAGGCACCCAUUUUUC